UGGUUCUGGCAUCGAUGAAGAACGCAGCGAAAUGCGAUAAGUAAUGUGAAUUGCAGAAUUCAGUGAAUCAUCGAAUCUUUGAACGCACAUUGCGCCCCUUGGUAUUCCGGGGGGCAUGCCUGUUCGAGCGUCAUUACAACCCUCAAGCUCUGCUUGGAAUUGGGCACCGUCCUCACUGCGGACGCGCCUCAAAGACCUCGGCGGUGGCUGUUCAGCCCUCAAGCGUAGUAGAAUACACCUCGCUUUGGAGCGGUUGGCGUCGCCCGCCGGACGAACCUUCUGAACUUUUCUCAAGGUUGACCUCGGAUCAGGUAGGGAUACCCGCUGA
rnacentral:misc_RNA from 1 species